UUCCGUAGGUGAACCUGCGGAAGGAUCAUUAACAAAAAUAUUUA
rnacentral:rRNA from 1 species